rnacentral:rRNA from 1 species
GACGAACGCUGGCGGCGUGCCUAACACAUGCAAGUCGAACGGGGCUCUUUGGAUCGAGACUUCGGUCAAGUGAAUCUGGGCUUAGUGGCGGACGGGUGAGUAACGCGUGAGCAACCUGCCUCAAAGAGGGGGACAACAGUUGGAAACGACUGCUAAUACCGCAUAAGCCCACAGCUCCGCAUGGAGCAGAGGGAAAAGGAGCGAUCCGCUUUGAGAUGGCCUCGCGUCCGAUUAGCUAGUUGGUGAGGUAACGGCUCACCAGGUCGACGAUCGGUAGCCGACCUGAGAGGGUGAUCGGCCACAUUGGAACUGAGAGACGGUCCAG